UAUGUUGGGAGGGCAUAGCGUUCUGUUCCCUUGGUUACGAAAUGCUUUUUUUUUUGGCUGUUUUCUGGAAAGUAAACGCUUUUAGUGACUUGGUGUGGAGCCGAGUUUUGGGGAAACCAAGUUUCGCCUUCAGGGAAAUAAUCAGAAUGCUAGAAAGAUUGGAGGCAUGGCACUCAGAACCCACAGAAAGGUAAGAGAGAACCUGAUGCCGACCGAGGCCAGGGCAGGUAUCAGAUCUCCUGGAACUGAAGCCACAGAUGUCUGUAAGCUGCCUCAUGGGAAUCGAAGCCAGGUCCUCUGGAAGAGCAGCAGCCAGUGCCCUUAACUAUGGAGCCAUCUCUCUAGCCCCGUUUGUCAGUGGCCGGCACUACAGCCUCAUCUUCAUUUUCAUGCAGAAAGCUGCAAAUCAUGUUGGGUCUAUAGGAGAAAUCAUUAUCCUUCAUUUGUAGCCACUCUACGCCAUCUAAUUGGGCAGGAGAUGAGCAAGACAAAUAAAGAAACAGAAAAUUUCAGUUAA